GACACUAUGGCCGAGUGGUUAAGGCGUGUGACUAGAAAUCACAUGGGUUCGCCCGCACAGGUUCAAGUCCUGUUGGUGUCG